rnacentral:rRNA from 1 species
UACGUAGGGUGCGAGCGUUGUCCGGAAUUAUUGGGCGUAAAGGGCUCGUAGGCGGUUUGUCGCGUCGGGCGUGAAAUCCACUGGCUUAACUGGUGGCUUGCUUUCGAUACGGGCAGACUGGAGGUAUGCAGGGGAGAACGGAAUUCCUGGUGUAGCGGUGAAAUGCGUAGAUAUCAGGAGGAACACCGGUGGCGAAGGCGCACAUCUGGCCCGAUACUGACGCUGAGGCGCGAAAGCUAGGGGAGCAAACGGG